rnacentral:rRNA from 1 species
GUGCCAGCCGCCGCGGUAAUACGAAGGGGGCUAGCGUUGUUCGGAAUUACUGGGCGUAAAGCGCGCGUAGGCGGAUCGUUAAGUGAGGGGUGAAAUCCCAGGGCUCAACCCUGGAACUGCCUUUCAUACUGGCGAUCUUGAGUUCGAGAGAGGUGAGUGGAAUUCCGAGUGUAGAGGUGAAAUUCGUAGAUAUUCGGAGGAACACCAGUGGCGAAGGCGGCUCACUGGCUCGAUACUGACGCUGAGGUGCGAAAGCGUGGGGAGCAAACAGGAUUAGAUACCCGUGUAGUCC